UUCCUGGAGCCGGUGACCUGAGACCCACCCUUCUCGACGGGGCAGGUGUUAUAAGUGUCCUGUAGAGUAUGGGUGUGGUUUUAGUGCACGCGGGAG
rnacentral:pre_miRNA from 14 species